CGUGCACCUGCCGGUUGACUAUCAACAGAAAGUGCUUGUCGCUUUGGCAUGGUCCAAAGAACUAUCAAGGAAUGUGAUGUACAUUAAUGUGUCAUUCCGCCAUGGCAGAGUCAAAAUCCAAAGUAGUAGCAUAUGAAAAAUUCCUCAAUGAAACGUUGAGAGAGGAUUUAAGGAAAAUUCUUGAUGAAAGGGACAAAGUGUAUAGUCAGAUUGCUGAAUAUCUCCAACUGAAGACAGUCAUUGAAAAAACAAAGGAUGCUGAUGGUGGAGAGAUAAAGACACAGGUGGAUCUGGGCUGCAACUUCUAUGUUCAAGCCAAAGUACCGGAUACUUCCAGGAUAUGUGUAGCUGUAGGAUUUGGCUUCUUUGUGGAGUUCACCCUAGAUGAGGCACUCAAGUUCAUUGAUAAGAAGACAGCGGCUCUGACACACAGAACAGAUGAACUGUCUAAAGAUGCAGCUAAAGUCAAAGCUCACAUCAGGCUGGUUCUGGAGGGCUUGAGAGAGGUGCAACUGAUCAGUGACAAACCUGAUGUGGAAUACCGUGACCCCCAGGCCUGAUGAAGCAUGCAGUGAGAUGAGGGGUGGAAUGCUAACAUUGCUGAUGGAACACCUGUUCCCUUGGCCUGAUUCCUGACCCCCACGCCUGAUGGACCUCACCAUGCCCCUUCUGCCCUGAUGGACCUCACCCUGCCCCUUCUGCCCUGAUGGACCUCACCCUGCUCCUUCUGCCCUGAUGGAACUCACAUGCCCCUUCUGCCUUGAUGGACCUCAUCCUGCUCCUACUGCCCUGAUGGAACUCACCCUGCCCUUUCUGCCCUGAUGGACCUCACCAUGCCCCUUCUGCCUUGAUGGACCUAAUCCUGCUCCUACUGCCCUGAUGGAACUCACCCUGCCCCUUCUGCCCUGAUGGACCUCACCAUGCCCCUGCCCUGAUGGACCUUGCCCCUUCUGCCCUGAUGGACCUCACCCUGCUCCUUCUGCCCUGAUGGAACUCACAUGCCCCUUCUGUCCUGAUGGACCUCACCAUGCCCCUUCUGCCCUGAUAGACCUCACCAUGUUCCUUCUGCCCUGAUGGACCUUAUCCUGCCCUGAUGGACCUCACCAUGCUCCUUCUGCCCUCAUGGAACUCACCAUCCCCCUUCUGCCCUGAUGGACCUCAUCCUGCUCCUUCUGCCCUGAUGGACCUCACCAUGCCCCUUCUGCCCUUAUGGAACUCACCUUGCAUCUCUUGCCCUGAUGGACCUCAUCCUGCUCCUUCUGCCAUGAUGGACCUCACCAUGCCCCUUCUGCCCUGAUGGAACUCACCUUGCCCCUUCUGCCCUGAUGGAACUCACCUUGCUCCUUCUGCCCUGAUGGAGCUCACCUUGCAUCUAUUGCCCUGAUGGAACUCACCAUGCCCCUUCUGUCCUGAUGGAACUCGCCCUAUCCAUGUUUGAAGUCACUCUAUCCUUCUUACCCCAAAUGACCUUAUCCUGCCCUGAUGGACCUCACCCAGUCCUGCAGGUACUCACCAAGUCCUCUUGCCCUGAUGGACCUCACCCCGUCCUGCAGGUAUCCCUCUUGCCCUGAUGGACCCCAACCUGCCCUUCAGGAACUCACCAAGUCCUCUUGCCCUUAUGGACCUCACCCUAUCUCUCUUGCCCUGAUGGACCUCACCCAGUCCUGCAGGAACUCGCCAAGUCCUCUUGCCCUGAUUGACCUCACCCUAUCCCUCUUGCCCUGAUGGACCCCAACCUGCCCUUCAGGAACUCACCUGAUCCCUCUUGCCCUGAUGGACCUCACCCUAUCCCUCUUGCCCUGAUGGACCUCAACCAGUCCUGCAGGUACUCACAAAGUCCUCUUGCCCUGAUGGACCUCACCCUAUCUCUCUUGCCCUGAUGGACCUCACCCAGUCCUGCAGGAACUCGCCAAGUCCUCUUGCCCUGAUUGACCUCACCCUGUCCCUCUUGCCCUGAUGGACCUCACCCUGUCCUGCAGGAACUCACCUGAUCCCUCUUGCCCUGAUGGACCUCAACCAGUCCUGCAGGAACUCACCUGAUCCCUUUUGCCCUGAUGGACCUCACCCUAUCCCUCUUGCCCUGAUGGACCUCAACCAGUCCUGCAGGUACUCACAAAGUCCUCUUGCCCUGAUGGACCUCACCCUAUCUCUCUUGCCCUGAUGGACCUCAC